CCUCCUCCUCCUCCUCCUCCUCCUCCUCCUCCUCCUCCUCCUCCUCCUCCUCCUCCUCGCGUUCCCGACCUGACCCAGCAGCAACCAUGUGGCUGGUGGUGCUGGCCAGCCUUCUUCACUGCGCCUCGGGUUCCGACGUGGAUCUGAAGAAACUGGACGGGCUGGCGAAAGCGAGAGUGGAGACGUGUGGUGGAUGACAGCUGAACAGGCUCAGGGAGGUCAAGGCCUUUGUGGUCCAGGACAUUCCUCUUUACCACAACCUGGUGAUGAAGCACAUGCCUGGGGCCGACCCUGAGCUUGUCCUCCUGAACCACUAUUAUGAAGAGCUGGAUGUAAGUCUUUGUUCUGCGACAUAUUUAUAUUUGCACUGUACUUAUUUGACAAUCUAUUAAAGUCUCUAUAUGUACACUUUAAAUGUGAUUAUAGCAUCUAUAAUACAA